rnacentral:rRNA from 1 species
GACGAACGCUGGCGGCGUGCUUAACACAUGCGAGUCGAACGGAAAGGCCCUGCUUUUGUGGGGUGCUCGAGUGGCGAACGGGUGAGUAACAAGUGAGUAACCUGCCCUUGACUUUGGGAUAACUUCAGGAAACUGGGGCUAAUACCGGAUAGGAGCUCCUGCUGCAUGGUGGGGGUUGGAAAGUUUCGGCGGUUGGGGAUGGACUCGCGGCUUAUCAGCUUGUUGGUGGGGUAGUGGCUUACCAAGGCUUUGACGGGUAGCCGGCCUGAGAGGGUGACCGGCCACAUUGGGACUGAGAUACGGCCCAGACUCCUACGGGAGGCAGCAGUGGGGAAUAUUGCACAAUGGGCGGAAGCCUGAUGCAGCAACGCCGCGUGCGGGAUGACGGCCUUCGGGUUGUAAACCGCUUUCGCCUGUGACGAAGCGUGAGUGACGGUAAUGGGUAAAGAAGCACCGGCUAACUACGUG